UUAUCCUUUAAUAUAGCCCAGAGAGGCUAAAAAGGGCUACUUGAUAUUUUAUACGUUAUUAUAUCUUUGCUUUUUCAUGCCCUUUUGUCCUCUCUGACGGAAGGGUAUUUUAU
rfam:Viridibacillus arenosi FSL R5-213 Contig001, whole genome shotgun sequence.